rnacentral:rRNA from 1 species
UGCCAGCAGCCGCGGUAAGACGAAGGUGGCAACCGUUGCUCGGAUCCACUGGGCAUAAAGCGCGCGUAGGUGGCUAGAAAGGUCAACGGUGAAAUCCCACGGCUCAACCGUGGAACUGCCGUUGAAACCAUCUGGCUUGAGGACGGGAGGGGAGAGUGGAACUCUUGGUGUAGCGGUGAAAUGCGUAGAUAUCAAGAGGAGCGCCGGUGGCGAAAGCGACUCUCUGGACCGUUCCUGACACUGAGGUGCGAAAGCUACGGGAUCAAACAGGAUUAGAUA